UUCAACAAUUUGGCGAAAGCAUCUUUAAAAACAAGUGAACCAUCAUUGUACCUGCCAUUUCUUUUUGGGCAUGGUAACCAUUUAAUCCGAAAGGAGUUCUUCUAAAGGAACGUAAGCAUAAUUGGGACCAUUCUGACAACGAUCGUAGGAUAACUUCCAUUCACUUUCGUACGUUCACGAAGCUCUUUUAUUUUCCGUUGACUCUCUCCAUGUAGAGGUUCGCAUUUAUUCUUGUGUAAAAACGUACCACCCAUUAGUUUAUUAUUUUAGAGUUCACGUAUUGGGGUCAAGAACUACGAUCCGACUGUUUACCUGUGAAACGAAACUAUAGACCACAUUGUGUUGCGGAUAAGGGGGCAUAUGAAAGUAAAUCGACUAAGUACUGGAGUGCAGUGUGUACGAUCUAGCAUCAAACCAUUGAAAUAACUUAAUGGCCGAGUCGUACAUAUCUUGAAGCCGCUACCUUGCUUCCGACACUUUGUGUAACACUUAGAGCAGCAUUUGUCAUUCAACGUGCAACCAUAUACCAGGACCUGUGGAAAAGAAGACCUAAAUAUUGAUCGUACGGUGAUGUAACAUUGUUAAACCUUUUUGUAAAUUUGUGUGUUUGCAUUUGACCCACCUCGGUGGUGAUCAAUUGCUAAUUGGCCUGCAUAGAGCCAAGAUUAUUACUGUUAAUUGGUAAGCUUGACAUUUUUGGGGUACAAUAUUUUAGCUAGUAAAAAGAUUACUCUCGUUAUGGAGUGAUAACAAUUUAUGUAAGGUACGAACGAGCUCGUAAGAACCGAAUAAUUUCAUUGCCCACUCAAGCUAUAAAUUAGGGUAUCUAUUUUCAAUUUAAUUCAUUAUUUUGCCACUGUAACGAUAUUUGUGUGUUAACUCCAGAGAUUCUGGUGUAUUUUAUUCAACAUUUUAUGGGAAAUUUUAUGUAAACCCCUUCUUUUGUUAACUUUGGGAGGAUUCAUAUUUUGAGUUGCUGCUUACCUUAAAUAAGAUUAUGAAUUCCCAGUGGGGAAUCUAAGUUGUGCAAUUUUGAAUUUAUUUCAUGGUGCAGUGCACCGAAUAAAACUUUUUAUUUGUGGGUCA